AUUGAACGCUGGCGGCAUGCCUAACACAUGCAAGUCGAACGGUAACAGGCCUUCGGGCGCUGACGAGUGGCGGACGGGUGAGUAAUACGUAGGAAUCUGUCUUAUAGUGGGGGAUAACUUAGGGAAACUUAAGCUAAUACCGCAUACGCACUACGGUGGAAAGCAGGGGAUCGCAGGACCUUGCGCUAUUAGAUGAGCCUACGUCGGAUUAGCUAGUUGGUAGGUAAAGGCCUACCAAGGCAACGAUCCGUAGCUGGUCUGAGAGGGCGACCAGCCACACUGGGACUGAGACACGGCCCAGACUCCUACGGGAGGCAGCAGUGGGGAAUAUUGGACAAUGGGCGCAAGCCUGAUCCAGCAAUGCCGCGUGUGUGAAGAAGGCCUCGG
rnacentral:rRNA from 1 species